CGAGCGGAUCUGAGGGAGCUUGCUCCCUGAUUCAGCGGCGGACGGGUGAGUAACACGUGGGUAACCUGCCUGUAAGACUGGGAUAACUCCGGGAAACCGGGGCUAAUACCGGAUAACUCACUUCCUCGCAUGAGGAACUGUUGAAAGGUGGCUUUUUCCUCUAAUUUACAAAUGGACCCCCGCCGCAUUACCUAUUUGUGGAGGUACCGCCUCACCAAGGCACCAAUCCUUACCCAACCUGAAAGGGGGUUCGCCCCCACGGGGACGGAAACACGCCCCAAACCCCUCCGGGGGGCGCCAUUAGGGAAUCUCCCCCAUGGAACAAAAUUCUAACGAACAACCCCCCCGGGAGUGAAAAAGGUUUUCGAAUCUAAAAAUUCUUUUUUUAGGAAAAAACAAUUGCGUUUCAAACAGGGGGCCACCUUGACGGUACCUAACCAAAAACCCCCGCCUAAUACCUUGCCACCACCCCCGUUAUUACUUAGGUGGCAACCGUGUUCCGAAUUUAUGGGGCGUAAACCGCGCGCAGGUGUUUUCUUAUUUCUAAGAUGAAACCCCACGCUUCACCCUUGAAGGGUCUUUGUAAACUGUGGACCUUGAGUGCGCAGAAGAAAUUGUAUUUCUAGUUGUACCGCUGAGAUGCGUGAUAUUGAAGGAACACAGUUGUCGAGGCGACUUUCUGGUCUGUAACUGACACUGAGCGCGAAGCUGGGAGCAACCAGAUAAUACCUGUAGUCACGC
rnacentral:rRNA from 1 species